rnacentral:misc_RNA from 1 species
AACCUAGCACACCUGCGGUGUGUACCUGCGGAAGGAUCAUUACUGAGUGUAAAAACUCCCAAACCCAUUGUGAACAUACCACUGUUGCUUCGGCGGAUACGCCCCGGGCGCGCUCUUCACAGGGCGUGCCCCGGAACCAGGCGCCCGCCGGGGGACCGAAACUCUUGUUUUCUUAGGAUCUCUGAGUGUGAUUAUUAAAUAAAUCAAAACUUUUAACAACGGAUCUCAGAUCGGAAGAGC